GGGGGUUUAGCUCAGGUGGUUAGAGCACCUGACUCAUAAUCAGGGUGUCGUAGGUUCAAGUCCUACAACCCCCA
rnacentral:tRNA from 1 species